rfam:Beta vulgaris subsp. vulgaris contig154645.1, whole genome shotgun sequence.
AGGAGCAGUAUGAGGUGAAAAUCUCAUGUACGGUUCUGUACUAGAGAUGACAAGAGUGACCUUAUCAUCGAUUGUGAU